GAUGAACGCUAGCGGGAGGCUUAACACAUGCAAGUCGAGGGGCAGCAUAGGGUAGCAAUACUCUGAUGGCGACCGGCAAACGGGUGAGUAACGCGUAUGCAACCUACCCUGUACAGGGGGAUAACCCGGAGAAAUUCGGACUAAUAUCCCGUAAUAAUAUCCGGAGGCAUCUUUGGAUAUUUAAAGUUCCGACGGUACGGGAUGGGCAUGCGUAACAUUAACUGGUUGGUAAGGUAACGGCUUACCAAGGCUAUGAUGUUUAGGGGUCCUGAGAGGGUGGUCCCCCACACUGGUACUGAGACACGGACCAGACUCCUACGGGAGGCAGCAGUGAGGAAUAUUGGUCAAUGGGCGCAAGCCUGAACCAGCCAUCCCGCGUGCAGGAAGACGGCCCUAUGGGUUGUAAACUGCUUUUCCCCGGGGCGAAUAACCCCCUCGCGAGGGGGAGUGCCGGUACCGGGGGAAGUAAGGAUCGGCUAACUCCGUGCCAGCAGCCGCGGUAACUAGUCUACG
rnacentral:rRNA from 1 species